rnacentral:rRNA from 1 species
AUUGAACGCUGGCGGCAUGCCUUACACAUGCAAGUCGAACGGUAACAGGUCUUCGGAUGCUGACGAGUGGCGAACGGGUGAGUAAUACAUCGGAACGUGCCCGAUCGUGGGGGAUAACGGAGCGAAAGCUUUGCUAAUACCGCAUACGAUCUACGGAUGAAAGCAGGGGACCGCAAGGCCUUGCGCGGACGGAGCGGCCGAUGGCAGAUCAGGUAGUUGGUGGGAUAAAAGCUUACCAAGCCGACGAUCUGUAGCUGGUCUGAGAGGACGACCAGCCACACUGGGACUGAGACACGGCCCAGACUCCUACGGGAGGGAGCAGUGGGGAAUUUUGGACAAUGGGCGCAAGCCUGAUCCAGCCAUGCCGCGUGCAGGAUGAAGGCCUUCGGGUUGUAAACUGCUUUUGUACGGAACGAAAAGACUCUGGUUAAUACCUGGGGUCCAUGACGGUACCGUAAGAAUAAGCACCGGCUAACUACGUGCCAGCAGCCGCCGUAAUAC